rnacentral:misc_RNA from 1 species
AACCCACCCCUUAUGGUUUAAAUGGAAACCUGUUUACGAAAGAAAGAGCAACGCCUGGUGGAAGGGAGGCGGGCAGCGCCAAUUGAUUGGCCCGAACAAUUUCGUAUCCAGACGUUCACCGUGUUACCAACCUGAAAGUUGAGAUUUACUUCCCGUAACGUCUGAUAACUCUAUCACCGCCAAAUGAAUCUCAAGAAGACGCCGGGAUUGGAUUUGAAAAAAAGUUUUCUGACUCUCCUUUUCAAAUGGCGCGGCUCAUUGUACAAGUUGUGUUACAGAGAACUCGUCUGUUUUCUGGUUCUCUUCUGCGCCAUCAGCCUUAUUUAUCGUCAGGCGCUCGAUGGUGAUCAGAAAAGUUUUUUUGAAAAGAUAGUGCGCUAUUGUGAAAAAUAUUUGAACAUGGUUCCCCUCUCUUUCAUUUUGGGAUUCUAUGUCACCACCGUAGCAACUAGGUGGUGGCAGCAGUGUUUGGCAUUACCUUGGCCCGACAGAAUAAUGCUUUCCAUUGCCAUGUAUAUUCCCGGCUGCGAUAACGAAUCAAAACUAUUGCGGAAAACACUUCUACAGUACUGUAAUCUUAUGGCUGUCCUCGUUUUCCGCACCAUUUCGGAAGCGGUCAAGUUUCGUUUGAACACUCUGGAGGACGUUGUCAAUGCAGGUUUUAUGACGAAAGCAGAAAUGGAGUGUUUCAAGGCAGUCAAAGCCGAUUGCAACUUGUUUUGGUUGCCUGGCCUUUGGUUUUGCCAUCGACUUCGAGAGGCUCAAGUCCAAGGGCGCGUCAUUGAUCCAUUCGGUGCUCAGCUCAUCAUGAGGGAACUUCUGGAAUUCCGUUCCAGAUGUGGCCUUUUAUGGGUUUAUGACUGGGUUACCAUUCCCCUAGUGUAUACUCAGGUGGUAACCUUGUCUACGUAUUCGUUCGUCUUUGCUUGUCUAAUCGGACGGCAAAAUAUCGACAAUGGCAACAAAGAUAUUCCGAUCGAUGUUUACUUCCCAGUCUGGACCGUUUUGCAAAUUCUGUUUUAUUUGGGACUGCUCAAGGUCGCCGAGAACAUGAUCCAUCCGCUUGGUGAAGACGACGAAGAUUUCAAUUUGAGUUUUCUUCUGAAUCGUAAUGUGAAGGUUAUCAACGUAGGAACGCACGCGUUUACCAGUGACAUGUGCCCUCCCAUGGAAGGUGAUCAUCUCCAAACAGAUCAACCUGGUAUCCACACUCCUCAUACCAGUCACAAGACAUCACAUCAAUUGAAGAAUCGAAUAUUCAAACCGAAAUUGCCAGGACUGUAUACAGCGAACAAGGAAAAGGCAGAACUAAAUAACAAAAAACCUGAACAAACCAUCCCAACCAUUUCGAUGGGCGUGCUGAAUGCUUCAUCUUAUUCUUUAGACCUGGCACUACUACCGGGCGAACCCAAUUACCAAGGAAAAGCGUUUUCGUGGAAUUUAUGACGCUCAAUGCGAAAACUCUGGCUCAAAAAUCAAAACUUUCUCAAAUACUUUUUAAUAUGCCAUUUUCGUACAAUUGUAAAAGACCCUGAAAUUAGAAUGUCCUAGACUGAAAAAAACAAAACAGGUUUUCCGGGUUCCGGGGAUUCCCAGCCAAGAGUGAAAGUAUGUUUCCUUAUAUCACGUAACUUCAAGACAUAGCAACACUCUGGUUUAUGUACAGACGGUCGAUUUCGUAUUUCAAUUCGUGUAUGCUGUACAGCAGAGCAAUAGAGAAAACUGGAACCUG